AGGGGUGUAGCUCAGCGGCAGAGUGUGUGCUUGGUAUGUACAAAACACUGGGUUCAAUCCUCAGCAUACAUU
rnacentral:tRNA from 1 species